rnacentral:rRNA from 1 species
UGCUGUGAGCUCGAUGAGUAGGGCGGGACACGUGGUAUCCUGUCUGAAUAUGGGGGGACCAUCCUCCAAGGCUAAAUACUCCUGACUGACCGAUAGUGAACCAGUACCGUGAGGGAAAGGCGAAAAGAACCCCGGCGAGGGGAGUGAAAAAGAACCUGAAACCGUGUACGUACAAGCAGUGGGAGCACCUUCGGGUGUGACUGCGUACCUUUUGUAUAAUGGGUCAGCGACUUAUAUUCUGUAGCAAGGUUAACCGUAUAGGGGAGCCGGAGGGAAACCGAGUCUUAAUUGGGCGUUAAGUUGCAGGGUAUAGACCCGAAACCCGGUGAUCUAGCCAUGGGCAGGUUGAAGGUUGGGUAACACUAACUGGAGGACCGAACCGACUAAUGUUGAAAAAUUAGCGGAUGACCUGUGGCUGGGGGUGAAAGGCCAAUCAAACCGGGAGAUAGCUGGUUCUCCCCGAAAGCUAUUUAGGUAGCGCCUCGUGAAUUCAUCUCCGGGGGUAGAGCACUGUUUCGGCUAGGGGGCCAUCCCGGCUUACCAACCCGAUGCAAACUGCGAAUACCGGAGAAUGUUAUCACGGGAGACACACGGCGGGUGCUAACGUCCGUCGUGAAGAGGGAAACAACCCAGACCGCCAGCUAAGGUCCCAAAGUCAUGGUUAAGUGGGAAACGAUGUGGGAAGGCCCAGACAGCCAGGAUGUUGGCUUAGAAGCAGCCAUCAUUUAAAGAAAGCGUAAUAGCUCACUGGUCGAGUCGGCCUGCGCGGAAGAUGUAACGGGGCUAAACCAUGCACCGAAGCUGCGGCAGCGAACGUAUCACCCAAGACAACUUUACGGAGUUGACGAUUGACGGAGCGAAGCGACGUCAAAGCGUUCAUUAAAGUCGAGUU